rnacentral:tRNA from 1 species
GCCGGUGUAGCUCAGAUGGUUAGAGCACGCGGCUCAUAUCCGCGGCGUCCGGGGUUCAAUUCCCUGCACCGGCACCA